ensembl:lncRNA
CUUUAGAUCAGAAUGAGGAUGUCUUGGUGAUUUGAAUCAAAACCGCAAAAACAGACUGUACUUGUCCACUCGCCUUCUCAUCUCUGAAAGUCUCUAUGAGUCUUUCCUAUUACGAGAACGUCUGUAAAUAUUACCUUCUUACAGCAACUGAACAAUGUGUCAGGAUCAAAACAAGAGAGAGGAACUUUAUGGAUUGAGCUCAGCUAUAAGAAAAAGAAAACAGGUAACCAUUUGAAAGGCAAAUUUGUGAAAAAGUCAGGCUGUAUUUCCUUGUUGUAUUCAAAUAUCUCUCUUUCAUUUUUCUCUGUAGGGCAGAGUGAGGCAGCAGGGACAUAUAAGAUACAUAUUUGACUCAAGGAACAGGAUACAAAAUACAGAAGAAUUUUAUGGCAGAAGCUUCAAUCGCAUAGUCUGAGUACAUUAACUCAUUUCAUUUACUGCUGUUCAUUUCACUUAUGGGAUGGCACAUCAGAUAUAUGGAAAAGACCAGCUUAUUUUUAUCAUUAUAUAUCCAAACUAAUUAUUGUUCAGUGAACUUUGCACAGUAAUUUGUAGUCUAACCAAUGAAGAAAAACUAAGCUUUUGUCAUUUAUUUUAUCGAUGAACUAAAGAUCAGACAGAUUAUUCAAGACAACUGAGAUCAGAAAAAAUGUCCAUUAUUACUAAUGGUGAAAAUUCAGUAGAAGAUCAAGAGUCAUGUGUAAAAAAAAAAACAUGUGAUAGUCAACUUGUGUCUUAAGAAUCUUAAAAAUGCUGAAGAAACGAAUAUCUAGAGUGCAGUUCUUUAUUUCUUUUUUUAAUUAAUUAAUUAAUUAAUGAAACAGAUGAAUCUUAUAACAUGUUUCUACAGACAUACAGGGAGGGAUUACUUUAAAAGAGACACAUUAAUUAACCAGACAGAACGUAGAUGAAAAUAAACAAGUAAAUGAAUAAAACAGAAAAUAAGAAAAGAAAAGAAAUAUUAACAACAAUCAUUUCUUCAUUUUUUCUAGCAACAGAUCCAAGAUCCAAAGUAUUUGGUGAUGUACAGCAAGGACGUUACCAUGCAAAGAGUUUCUCCAUAAAGUUUAACAAGCAACUGCUUCAUCUGUGUAUUUGCUGUGCUGAUAAUCAAAGUGUGUCUGCAGGUUACAAUAGAGGCUGUUAUUGGUGGUUCUGUUGUCCUGCCGUGUUCCUCAGCUGAACAUGAUCAUAAACUUUAAGAGCUGGAGACAAAAUGGCAUUUGAUAUAAUUCCACACAGUAAUUCAACAGUGACAAAAACUUUCCCUCAGGAGUAUCUGAGAGAAAUCUUCUCCAUAAACUCAACAAUCUUCAACACACUGAUGCAGGACAAUAUAUUUGCUACAGUAUAUCAAAAACUUCAUUUCACUUCAACUUAAAUUUCACUCUAAAGCUGAUCAUCAAUUGUAUGUGAAACUAACUGAUUAGUGCAUGAACUAUUUUAUUUAAAGUUGAUUGAUCCAAUAUCUGAAAUUCACCAGUGAUGCUCCAGUCUCUAUGCUGCUGUAUAUAAAUUACAGAUCAAAAUCUGUUGCCUUUAUCACGAGGAGGUAAUGUUUUCUGUCAGAAGGUCAGUGAAGGUCUCAAAGUAUUUUGAAAGCUCAUCAAAUGACCUUGAACUGAUAAGAAUUUUCAAGCACAAAGGGAAAGCAACUGUAAAAUACAAAUCAUGGCUUGGCUUUUCAUAUAUACGUUUAGUUUGCAUAGCAUCCCAUUUGCUGUGCAUUUAGGAUCUUAAAACAAUGUUUAUUUUGGUAACAUUGCCUAAAUAACCUCAAAACAACAACAACUACUUACUUGGUCAUAUAACAUAUUUUUCAGAUAUCCAUCUUUAUUUUUCUAUUAAGGAAGAAGAAAAAUCAUUCUUCCAUAAAGCAUAAUUAUGAGAUUUAAAUUAUGAGAAUUAAAAAAACAAAAAAACAUUUUGAUUUACAAAU